UGGGGAAUUUUGGACAAUGGGCGCAAGCCUGAUCCAGCCAUGCCGCGUGCGGGAAGAAGGCCUUCGGGUUGUAAACCGCUUUUGUCAGGGAAGAAAUCCUUUGAGCUAAUACCUCGGGGGGAUGACGGUACCUGAAGAAUAAGCACCGGCUAACUACGUGCCAGCAGCCGCGGUAAUACGUAGGGUGCAAGCGUUAAUCGGAAUUACUGGGCGUAAAGCGUGCGCAGGCGGUGAUGUAAGACAGAUGUGAAAUCCCCGGGCUCAACCUGGGACCUGCAUUUGUGACUGCAUCGCUGGAGUGCGGCAGAGGGGGAUGGAAUUCCGCGUGUAGCAGUGAAAUGCGUAGAUAUGCGGAGGAACACCGAUGGCGAAGGCAAUCCCCUGGACCGAUACUGACACUGAGGUGCGAAAGCGUGGGGAGCAAACA
rnacentral:rRNA from 1 species